CUGCCCUCAUCUUCCCUAAAGGUUGGUGAGCUCCAGGGGAAGUCAGGUUAUACUUUUGGACAUUCUUCUGGGAGUGUUUCAAGCUGUGGAGAAGCACACUGCUAAAUAACUACUCCUGGAAUAUCACUUAGAUAGCAUCCUUAACGUACAUUUUUGACUCUAUCCCUUUGCAGGAAGAACACAAACCAGGAAACCUAAUGUAUGCGGGAAGCAACAGCAGCUACCUUUGAGCUGGGAGAAUUCUAGAAGGGACUGUGAAGAGGGCAUCUGUUCUAAUAGGAGGAUCUGAAUCCCUGAAAGGGUUUUCCUGCAACAAAGGAGUGCCCUAAUCUGUGGACUCUGAGGGCUCCUUGUCACUGUGGAAGUGAAUCCUUGUCUGAGAAAUUGAAGUGGCUUCAAAUUAUGAUGAGAAGUGGCUUUGCAUUUAGACUGAUGAUAUUGAAAGACCAGCUGACCGUGAGAGCUCGCGGCAAACACAUAUGUUAAAUUUUGCUUUUCUGUAUCAGUAUUGCAAGCAUGAUUAAAUUGUG